GGGGUUGUGGCUCAGUGGUAGAGCACUCACCUAGCACAUGUGAGGUCCUAGGUUUGAUCCUCAGCACCA
rnacentral:tRNA from 1 species